GCUAGUGGCUGACACUGGCACUUGGAACCAUUCAGAUGUUUCUCUGUUAUAUUGAGGAUUAAAACCCCAUUCAGGGAGAAUGGGUUUUUGUGUUUUUGUUGUGUUUUGUUGUGUUUGCUUCAUGAGAAGUUCUUGGAGAGAUGCACUAGAGUGGAAAGCAGAUGCCGUCCUUAGGAAUCCUCUGAACUGAUACAGUGAAGAAAUGAAGGAAUUUGAGAAA